GCCAGUUUGGCUCAGUGGAUAGAGCAUUGGCCUGCAAACUGAAAGGUCCCAGGUUCUAUUCCGGGCAAGGGCA
rnacentral:tRNA from 1 species